rnacentral:lncRNA from 1 species
UUCAAUCUUGCCCUUGGUCCUUCGUUUUGUCAAGCAGUUAUCGCCCAAGAUUGUUGUCUCGUUAGACCGAGGUUGUGACAGAACUGAUGUCCCGUUCCCUCACCAUAUAAUCCAUGCACUCCAAUCGUAUUCCGGCCUCCUCGAGUCCCUUGAUGCGGUGAACAUGAACCUUGAUGCCUUGGAAAAGAUUGAAAGGUUCUUCCUUCAACCAAGCAUUGAAAAAAUCGUGUUGGGUCGACAUCGGUCUCUUGAAAGAAGACCUCCAUGGAGGAGUUUGUUUAUACAAUCCGGAUUCUCUCCAUUAACUUUCAGUAACUU